AAAAAAAAAAAAANAAAAAAAAAAAAAAAGAAAAAGAAAAUGAACUCUUGCAUUUUUCUUGUAUAUACUUGUAAAUAAUGAAAGAAUGAAGUGGGGUAAAAGUGUAUUUUGAAUAUUCCCAAUUUUCGAAGUAAGUAAAAAACAAAAAACAAACAAAAAUGUAUGAAUGACUUUGUAAAUUUUGUUCUAUAUGAAUAAAAAGGCAAACUACUUGUGGUCGUUCUCAAGUGCCAAAGAAGACCUGUUACUGGGACUGAGGGCCAUACUUUUCUUUUUUUCCCAUGGAUUUCAACACUUAUUCCCUUCCAGGUAUGGUUUUUUUUUAAGAGCAAAAAAUUUAUCUCUUUCUUGCUGGAAAAAUUCACCAUGCUCAGAUUUCUCCUUUCCCCAGAACCCUGUUUUAUAGCCAAGAUGACAAUUCACUCGGAGAACUUAGCAGCUGGUAUUAGCAUAGCAGUAAAAAAUGUUUUAAAGGUGAAUUAUGACUCAAAUCCAACAAACAAUAAACAGAGAACGCUUUCCUUCUAAUAAGGAUUUAAACUUCCACACAGUUUCUAAAUUUAGGCACAGGAUUAUUGGAUUGUGUUUUUACAUGUCUGCUGUGCUGUGUGGCUCUUUUUAUUUAACUUUCUGUGUUUUGUUAUACAUAUAUAUAUAAUAUAUAUUAUAUAUAUUUUGACAUAUAUAUUAUAUAUAUAAAUGUUUUGAUGCACAACAGGUUUUAGGUUAAGGGGAAAGCUUUUAAGAAAAACUGCGCAGCUCCUUUUUGUUUCUUGUGUACAUGACUGAAAAUGGGGAGGAACCAAUGGAGUGAGGCAAGGAGGAACUGUAAAGGCAGGAGAUAAUGGCACUGCAGUGACUGUGCCCUCUGGUGCCAUCUCUUUCUUUAAGAUUUCAUUGAAUUUGUUGCAUAAUGGAUGCAGUGUUCCCUGUUGAAAUCAUAUCCCUGAAUGACAAGACUAUAAGCACAGCUCUGCUUUUUUUCCAUUGAUUUUGCAAAGAGAAAUAUUUUAAUGGCCAUGCCUAUAAUCAUGGUAGGGAUGGCUGUACAAAACCUAUUUUUUUUUGUCUGUAAAACACAGAGGACAAAGAUAGAGCAACACAUACAACUUAUUUAAUGUCUUGUCAUGCAAAUAUUAUCAGUGCAAUGUCGUAUGACAAGAAAAAAACCAAACCAAAAUCUAACACAUUGUUUCCUUCCCAAACUGAAGUUUGAAUGCCAAAUAUAAUUGAUCAUUGUCCCCCUUCCUACUCAUCAUGGACCAUCACUCUCUUUCGAAAUUGGGAUAAUUGAGUGUCUUCUCAAAUGUAUCCCUGAUACUGGGUGGUAAUUUCCCUUUGUAGCUGGAUUUCUUCACUUUAUUAGAACACUGAUAUUUGGAAAAGGCUGUAGAUCCUGGUGCAGCACAAUCACCAUCUACACUAGGGUGAAAAAUUCUGUUUAAACAGAGGUAAAAAUGCAUUCACAUCCCAGGAAAGUCAGCAGGCAAUCUGGGGCAGGUUUUUGGAUAAAUAAACAUUCCAUUCGCUGCUCCUAAUUUGAUUUGCAUAAUUACACAACACAUAUAUUUAUGGGGUGAUUAAAGUCCCCACAUUUUUACAUUUCUACUUUAAGCAGUAGGGAGGAAAAGUCAAACUGUGACAUAAAACCAGCCUUAUGGAAGAGUAUAGUCAGCCUAAGACUUUUUAAAUGAGGAAUAUUGAUGAUGGGCUUACAGGAGAAGUACUCUUAGAGGUAUUAAUUUGUCUUUGUUCUCAAGCUGGUUCCUCAUGAAGAUGGUGCACUUUUGUAUGUAGCUUGGCACAAAUUGCACUAUUUGCUGACUGGAUUUAUGCUAUUUGGAAGUUUGGCCAACAAAAACUUUGGUUUGUUUUUUUUUUUUUUUUAAUUUCUUUUUGUUGUCUUGACAAACCUAUGGCCACAGGAAAAAAAAAAUCUUCCAUAAAUACAUUAAUUAGUUUUGGCAGAUAUAGCUGCACUAAAAUCCUAUGUACACACAGAAAUCUGUAAAGAUGCUUUGGAGAAAGAGUGCAAGGAUUUGCAUUGGAAAAAUCUCUCAUUUCAUGACCAAUUUAAGAUUUUAGCAGUAGCAGAGGAACGUGCUGCAGAAAAGGUGCAAGGAGGUGCUAUGAGGGUGUGAUCUCUUGUGGCACACAAACCUGCUGGAGGUUUCCUGAGCUGCUGCUGUGCUGUUAUUCACAAACCACGCUGAUGACUUGCUGCAGCAAUGCCCAGAGCAGGGGCUUGAAACCCUCUUUUACUGAGGCAUCUUUGCUUUCAUGUUAGAUCUUUUUCAUAUUAUAGACUAAAACACUGUAAUUUUAACUGGCCUGCAUUUGUGGAAUAAAUUGUGAAUACAAUAUAUUUUGGGGAUUAACUUUAGCUUUCUUCAUGUUUGGUGUUCUCCUCUUGGCUUACUCUUGCUAUGUGCUGUAAAGUUUGGAAAUGUGGUCUAACCUAUAAGUGAUGUUAGAGCUCCUUUAUUCUCACGCACAGAAUAUAACUCACUGUUUGAAUGCUUUGCAGGACUACAUUUAUGAGGAGCAGGAUCUUGAAGAACCAAACCACACAGCCCUCUUUCAGAAAAGUAUUUAAGCACGUGUGAGCCCUGUAGGGAGCACCUGCUUUAAGCACAGGUGAAUUGCAUUGCUGAUUGAUGGUGGAGUUAAAACACAGGUCUCAAAUUAAAGAUGUGCCUAAUUUUAAGCAGGUGAGUGAGCUGGCCAAACUCCCUGGGACUACUCAGCUGCUUUAAGUUAACCUUAAAUUUUGAGUGCUUUGCUGCACCAGGGUCUACACUGCAAAACUAGGACUCUGCAAUGGAUCUCUCACUGUCUAGUGAUUAUUUCUUUAUAUAAAAGCAAGUCAUAGCUUGAGCCUGUCAGCCCUGACAGGAAGCUGUUGAAUCCUUCAUGUGCUAGUGGUUUGGUUUUAGCUUAUUUAAGCAAAUCACCAGGUUCUCCUUGAACAUAAACAAUGUUUCUUUCCCCAUAACUUUCACUUUUCAAAGUAAAUGCAGAAUGUAUGAUUUUCAUAUCCUGUCUCCUGUUUUAUAUUUGUAUCUUCCUUUUGACAGAUCAAAGCAUUCACUUGCUAUAUAAUAUGUAUUCACCACACACAUGCGUAUAUAUAUACAUGUGCAAUUACUCACAGAAGAAGUGAGAAAUAUAAUUUCCAUGUGAUGCAAAUGAGCAUAAGGUGAAAGCUCUCACAGAGCUUAUUUACACCACCUGCAGGUUUGACCCUUCACCUUUAAUAUCUGGCAAGCUGAAGUAGAAAAACUGCAGAAGUUUCUGAAAACUUUGAAGACCAAAUUGUGCUCUGGUUUUUCAACUGGAACUUCCCCGAGUGUACUUAAAAUAGGGAAUAAUGUGUGAUCCCAAAUAUUCCAACUCCUCUGGAAUGUUUACAUUGCUAAGGUGAUUGAACAUGAGAUGUACCUUCCUUUUAUUGUGCUCUUUUGAUUAUGAGCUUUCACAAAAGUGACAUCUGUGGCACAGCACUUCUAGUGUAUCUUGUUCUACCAACCCAUUAGUUUAGAAAUUACUUUUUUGCAAAAAUGUGACUCAAUUUCUUCUAUUUGCUUGCAAUCCAUUGGCAAUCUGCUUUCAAUCUGAAGAAUGCAUUGCUCUUAUUUCUUAGUAUGUCAUGUUUUCCUGUUGCAAGGGGGAAAAAAAGAGUAAUUGUGCUUUUUAAUUUCAUAAUUGAUAGAAUGUUUUUAUGCUGAGUUACAACUACAUGUGUGCAAUACUUGUCUUGCAAAGUGAAGUUCCCAAUAUCUGCCUUGCUUUGAUAACCAUUGCUGCAUUGUAGGUGAAGUCUCAGCAAAAACAACUCACUCCUUCUCAGUCUGCUGAUAGAAUAAACCACUUAAACCUGGGUUCUCACCUGUGUAAAUCAGCUUCCCUCCAGGGAAUGGGUCAAGCAUACUGAGUUUUAGCAGGUGAAGGUUUAGCUCUUAAUAUUGGGCUCAAGAGCACUCCUUUCUAUAAAUUGGGGUAGCUCUGAAAAGGAAAAUGUCUCAAAAAUUAACCUGAAAGAGGAACUUUAUUAGAAUUUUCAGCAUGUAACACGGAUUACAGUUUAAACUUUAUGCUGGGAUUGCUUAAAGAAAGAAAAUUCUUCCUCAAAUCUGUUUAAAUUUUGGAAUAACUCUCUUCUGAGCUUAAAGCUGUUGGGUUGGUAACAAGUAGAGCAUUCAGAGGAAAUCAUGUUAGUGGGGUGGUACAGAAACCACUAUUCAGACUGUGUUAUUUUAUUUUAUUUUGCUUUACUGAUUUGAACUUACAUUGUGAGCAGCUAAAGAGUGGCAUAAAUCUAAACACAACACAUUUGGGAGACCCGGUUGGAAAUUUCUCAGAGAAACCACAUCCUUUGGCAUCAUCCUGGGAAAGGCAAGGAGAAAGUCAGAAGAAAGCUCUGAAGAAAGGCAAAAUUAAAGGGUUCUGGUGGGCACAGUUUUGGGAUGAUAAGUCGCAUAAAUAUGCCUCUAUAUUUUUGGAACCUGGAUGAAAAAAUAUGGGAGCAGAGAAACUGAGGAAGGCAGUUAAAUUGAAGAUAUGGCACAG